rnacentral:rRNA from 1 species
GGGGGCCUACGGGAGGCAGCAGUAGGGAAUCUUUCGCACUGGACGAAAGUCUGACGGAGCAACGCCGCGUGAGUGAAGAAGGUUUUCGGAUCGUAAAACUCUGUUGUUAGGGAAGAACAAGUCAGGUAGUAACUGACCUGACCUUGACGGUACCUAACCAGAAGAGCCAUGGCUAACUACGUGCCAGCAGCCGCGGUAAUU